ACAUAAAGUUGUAGAAAAGAUCAGCGUAGAAAAACAGGAUCCUGAGUUCUGAUCUCUGCCUGAUCUUGACUUGCAAGGAAUUCCUUCCAAGAUCCUCUUAAUUUAACUGCUGAUGGUUUGAGAAGUUAGAAUUACCUGUAAUCAUCAGGAAAACCAGCGGUCUUGAAUGUGUGAAAAUGACAACCACCUACUUACAAGUUUGCUACUGAACAGCCUAGAGCAGGAGUUGGAGUGACUCAGAGCAGGAAAAGCUGUGCAGCAUUCUCUCCGUGCAUGAAUUUGCAGAGAUAAUGAGCCUCAUUCUGGUCUUCUGAGUUUAGCUCCGCUGAUUUCAUGGUUUCCACUGGUGCAAAUCAGAUCUGGGCUGAUGUCUCUGACUACACCCAGGAGAAGAAAACUCUGUCGUGUCUCCAUGUUAAAAUGAGUGGAAAUUGAACUUAGGGGGAUUUAGCAUGUGAUUACUUUUUUUAGACAGGAUUUUCUUCUUAGCUGAAUUGGAUUGUG
rnacentral:lncRNA from 1 species